GACGAACGCUGGCGGCGUGCUUAACACAUGCAAGUCGAACGGUGAGGAGGAGCUUGCUCCUCCGAUCAGUGGCGAACGGGUGAGUAACACGUGAGUAACCUGCCCCAGACCCUGGGAUAACAGUUGGAAACAGCUGCUAAUACCGGAUACGAGACGGAGAGGCAUCUCUACCGUCUGGAAAGAUUUAUCGGUCUGGGAUGGACUCGCGGCCUAUCAGCUUGUUGGUGAGGUAAAGGCUCACCAAGGCGACGACGGGUAGCCGGCCUGAGAGGGCGACCGGCCACACUGGGACUGAGACACGGCCCAGACUCCUACGGGAGGCAGCAGUGGGGAAUAUUGCACAAUGGGCGAAAGCCUGAUGCAGCGACGCCGCGUGAGGGAUGAC
rnacentral:rRNA from 1 species